AGCGACACUAUGUGUUGUUGGGUAGGGGAGCGUUCUGUAAGCCUGCGAAGGUGUGCUGUGAGGCAUGCUGGAGGUAUUG
rnacentral:rRNA from 1 species